rnacentral:lncRNA from 1 species
AUGGGCCGACCUAGUACAAUGUUGGAUGUCUAUAGUGUUGAUAUCAUUGAACUUCUAACAAAAUUAUAUUUUGAAUACCAUCAAGAGGAUGAGAAAUAAAUUAUGCUUUACAGGAGUUUAGACCUCGAUGCUAUGGAUAAACUAGAGGAAGUAUUGACGAUGAAAGAACCAAUACGUGAAGCUUUCAUUCACAUGGAUGCCCCG